rnacentral:rRNA from 1 species
UACGAAGGGGGCUAGCGUUGCUCGGAUUGACUGGGCGUAAAGGGCGCGUAGGCGGUUCGUACAGUCAGACGUGAAAUUCCUGGGCUCAACCUGGGGGCUGCGUUUGAUACGUGCGGGCUUGAGUGCGGAAGAGGGUCGUGGAAUUCCCAGUGUAGAGGUGAAAUUCGUAGAUAUUGGGAAGAACACCGGUGGCGAAGGCGGCGACCUGGUCCGAUACUGACGCUCAUACACGACAGCAUGGGGAGCGAACGGG